CAGCUGGAAGGACAACAGUUGGCUGAGCUGUUGCUCAGAUCAUCUUGGAGUGCGACACUGAUGCCAGUCCAAUUCAAGGCAAAGGGAAAUUCUGAAAAGAAAUGCCUGGGCUAAUAACAGGGAACCUGUCUGGUGCCAGUGUGGAGCUGAGCAGCAGGUCCUGCAGCUGGAUGAGGGGGUGAGACCACACUUGGCGACAGGGAUGCAGACUCAGGGUCACCAGC